rnacentral:rRNA from 1 species
UACAGAGGGUGCGAGCGUUAAUCGGAAUUACUGGGCGUAAAGCGCACGUAGUCGGCUUUGCAAGUCGGUUGUGAAAUCCCCGGGCUCAACCUGGGAACUGCAUCCGAGACUGCAUUGCUAGAGUAUGGGAGAGGAAAGCGGAAUUUCUGGUGUAGCAGUGAAAUGCGUAGAUAUCAGAAGGAACAUCAGUGGCGAAGGCGGCUUU